GUGUCUCUGUCCCCAGGUGCGCUUUCCUCCCACUUCAGCUCGGACCUGAAGGACCUGCUGAGGAACCUGCUCCAGGUGGACCUGACCAAGCGCUUCGGCAACCUGCGCAACGGCGUCAACGACAUCAAGGGACACAAGUGGUUCGCCACCACUGACUGGAUUGCCAUUUACCAGAGGAAGGUGGAGGCACCGUUUAUUCCCAAGUGCAAAGGCCCCGGUGACACCAGCAACUUUGACGACUAUGAGGAAGAGGAAAUCCGAGUCUCCUUCACAGAGAAAUGUGGCAAGGAGUUUGCUGAGUUCUAGGCCCAACCAGGAGUAGCGGAAAGAGCCAGGGAUGUAGAGAGAAGGCAGGAACAGAAGGAAAUGGGAGGAGAGGUGAUAAGCUGGACUGCUAACUUGCAUUUUGUAAUUACGACAUCAACAAUGUAACAACCCCA